rnacentral:rRNA from 1 species
CCUACGGGAGGCAGCAGUGAGGAAUAUUGGGCAAUGGCCGGAAGGCUGAACCAGCCAAGCCGCGUGAAGGACGAAGGUGCCAAGCAUUGUAAACUUCUUUUGUCAAGGGACAAAAUCAGGCUCGAGAGCCUGACCGAGGGUACUUGAAGAAAAAGCAUCGGCUAACUCAGCGCCAGCAGCCGCGGUAAGACGGGGGAUGCGAGGGUUAUCCGGAUUUAUGGGGGUGAAAGGGUGCGUAGGCGGACUGUUAAGUCAGCGGUAAAAGCCCGGGGCCCAACCCGGGCGAGCCGUUGAAACUGGCUGUCUGGAGAUGUCGAGAGGUAUGCGGAAUGCGCAGUGUAGCGGUGAAAUGCUUAGAUAUUGCGCAGAACUCCGAUGGCGAAGGCAGCAUACCGGCGGCGAUCUGACGCUGAGGCACGAAAGCGUGGGUAUCGAACAGGAUUAGAUACCCGAGUAGUC